rnacentral:rRNA from 1 species
AGAGUUUGAUCAUGGCUCAGGAUGAACGCUAGCUACAGGCUUAACACAUGCAAGUCGAGGGGCAGCAUGUUGGUUGCUUGUAACCAACGAUGGCGACCGGCGCACGGGUGAGUAACGCGUAUCCAACCUACCCUUGUCCAUCGGAUAACCCGUCGAAAGGCGGCCUAACACGAUAUGCGGUUCACAGCAGGCAUCUAACGUGAACGAAAUGUAAAGGAGAAGGAUGGGGAUGCGUCUGAUUAGCUUGUUGGCGGGGUAACGGCCACCGAAGGCUACGAUCAGUAGGGGUUCUGAGAGGAAGGUCCCCANAUUGGAACUGAGACACGGUCCAAACUCCUACGGGAGACCA